rnacentral:tRNA from 1 species
AAACUUAGGAUAACACAAACCGAAG